UACGUAGGGUGCGAGCGUUGUCCGGAAUUAUUGGGCGUAAAGAGCUCGUAGGCGGUGUGUCGCGUCGGCCGUGAAAACCUGCAGCUUAACUGUGGGCUUGCGGUCGAUACGGGCAUCACUGGAGUUCGGCAGGGGGAGACUGGAAUUCCUGGUGUAGCGGUGAAAUGCGCAGAUAUCAGGAGGAACACCGGUGGCGAAGGCAGCCUUCUGGACAGUGGACUGACG
rnacentral:rRNA from 1 species